GCUGGGUGUGGUGGCGUGUGCCUAUAAUCCCAGCUACUUGGGAGGCUGAGGCAGGAGAAUUGCUCGAAUCCGGGAGUUGGAGGUUGCAGUGAGCCGAGAUCAUGCCACUGCACUCCUGCCUGGGUGACAGAGUGAGACUCUGUCUCAA
rfam:Nomascus leucogenys chromosome 24, whole genome shotgun sequence.